GGUGUUACUGUCGAGAGACACACUCAUCCCAGACGUUGGUUGUGCAGAGGGCAAGGCUCAGGAAAAGUUCACCUUGACAGUGAGCCACAGGAACAAGGAAUCACAUUGAGGACCAUGUCCUGUGAGAUUCUGGGUUUCUGUAAGACGAGUUCUGUCUUCAUGGACAUCUGAGCAUGUCCGAGAACAAAUAUCAUUAACCAAUGAUCAUGGCAUGGAGCUCUGUAUCCCGCUGUGGCGUGGUCCACAUGUCACCUAUCUUCUUCCCCAGGGUGGGGUGGCUUGAGCUAUGAAAUACCUGCCUCAUAAUAUGCAAAUGCACUGGUGUCUGCCGAGGUAAAUACAGAUCUGUCCUUGUCCAGAGAGCAUCACACAACAACCACAUCCCUCCCCUACAGAAGCCCCAGAGCACAGCACCUCACCAUGGACUGGACCUGGAGGAUCCUCCUCUUGGUGGCAGCAGCUACAGGCGCCCACUCUGAGGUCCAGCUGGUGCAGUCUGGGGCUGAAGUGAAGAAGCCUGGGGCCUCAGUGAAGGUCUCCUGCAAGGUUUCCGGAUACACCUUCACCGAAUUAUCCAUGCACUGGGUGCGACAGGCCCCUGGAAAAGGGCUUGAGUGGAUGGGAGGUGUUGAUCCUGUAUAUGGUGAAAUAAUACACGCAGAGAAGUUCCAGGGCAGAGUCACCAUGACCGAGGACACGUCUACAGACACAGCCUACAUGGAGCUGAGCAGCCUGAGAUCUGAGGACACGGCCGUGUAUUACUGUGCGAGAGACACAGUGUGAAAACCACAUCCUGAGAGUGUCAGAAACCCUGAGGGAGGAGGCAGCUGUGCUGGGGCUGAGAAGUUGAUGGCAUUUAUGAGGUUUAAACAUGUUUAGAAAAUGGGUUAAGUAAUUGAGUAAAACAAGCAAUGGAAAGAUGUAUACACUGUCAUUAUAUAGGAAAUAGUAUUUUCAACCGUCACCCUAUAAGUAACACUCAUAGAGUGGGAAAGGCAGCCAUCAAUCAAGCCGAUGCAAACAUUCCCAUGGAGGCUUUAUGGGGACAUACAUUUUAAAACCGGGUGGGUAAACCAUUAGGAACAGGACUGCUUGAUCACAUGGUCAGACUAAAUAUAAUUUCCAAGAAGU